GGCGUGGCUAAUACAUGCAGUCGAGCGAAUUGAUGGGAGCUUGCUCCCUGAUAUUAGCGGCGGACGGGUGAGUAACACGUGGGUAACCUGCCUGUAAGAUUGGGAUAACUCCGGGAAACCGGAGCUAAUACCGGAUAAUAUGUUGAACCGCAUGGUUCAACAUUGAAAGAUGGCUUUUGCUAUCACUUACAGAUGGACCCGCGGCGCAUUAGCUAGUUGGUGAGGUAACGGCUCACCAAGGCAACGAUGCGUAGCCGACCUGAGAGGGUGAUCGGCCACACUGGGACUGAGACACGGCCCAGACUCCUACGGGAGGCAGCAGUAGGGAAUCUUCCGCAAUGGACGAAAGUCUGACGGAGCAACGCCGCGUGAACGAUGAAGGCCUUCGGGUCGUAAAGUUCUGUUGUUAGGGAAGAACAAGUACCAGAGUAACUGCUGGUACCUUGACGGUACCUAACCAGAAAGCCACGGCUAACUACGUGCCAGCAGCCGCGGUAAUACGUAGGUGGCAAGCGUUGUCCGGAAUUAUUGGGCGUAAAGCGCGCGCAGGUGGUUUCUUAAGUCUGAUGUGAAAGCCCACGGCUCAACCGUGGAGGGUCAUUGGAAACUGGGGAACUUGAGUGCAGAAGAGGAAAGU
rnacentral:rRNA from 1 species